UGCCAGCCGCCGCGGUAAUACGGAGGGGGCUAGCGUUGUUCGGAAUCACUGGGCAUAAAGCGCACGUAGGCGGCCCACUAAGUCAGGUGUGAAAGCCCUCGGCUCAACCGAGGAACUGCACUUGAAACUGAUGGGCUAGAGAACGGUAGGGGUGAGCGGAACUCCAGGUGGAGCGGUGAAAUGCGUAGAUAUCUGGAGGAACACCGGUGGCGAAGGUGACUUUCUGGCACAACACUGACGCUGAGGUGCGAAAGCGUGGGGAGCAAACAGGAUUAGAUA
rnacentral:rRNA from 1 species